GACGAACGCUGGCGGCGUGCUUAACACAUGCAAGUCGAGCGGGGACAUUGGAGAGCUUGCUCAAAGAUGUUCUAGCGGCGGACGGGUGAGUAACGCGUGAGCAACCUUUCUCUCAGUGGGGAAUAACACAGGGAAACUUGUACUAAUACCGCAUGAGACCACGGAGCUGCAUGGCUCAGGGGUCAAAGAUUUAUCGCUGAGAGGUGGGCUCGCGUCCGAUUAGGUAGUUGGUGAGGUAACGGCCCACCAAGCCGACGAUCGGUAGCCGACCUGAGAGGGUGAUCGGCCACAUUGGGACUGAGACACGGCCCAAACUCCUACGGGAGGCAGCAGUGGGGAAUAUUGGGCAAUGGGGGAAACCCUGACCCAGCAACGCCGCGUGGAGGAAGAAGGUUUUCGGAUCGUAAACUCCUGUCCUCAGGGAAGAGCAGAAGACGGUACCUGAGGAGGAAGCCCCGGCUAACUACGUG
rnacentral:rRNA from 1 species